GACGAACGCUGGCGGUGUGCUUAACACAUGCAAGUCGAACGAAGAGCGACGGAAGCCUGCUUCUAUCAAUUUUAGUGGCGCACGGGUGAGUAACGCGCAACCAACCUGCCCUUUAGAGGGGGACAACAGUAGGAAAAGACUCCCAAUACCCCCUACGAACCAACCUCGGAAUCGAGGAUGGCUGAAAGGUGGCCUCUACAUGUAAGCUAUCAGUGAAGUAGGGGAUUGCGCCUGAUUAGCUAGUUGGAGGGGUAACGGCCCACCAAGGCGGUGAUCAGUAGCCGGGCUGGGGGGGUGGACCACCACAUUGGGACUGGGGCACGGGCCAAACUCCUAAGGGAGGCAGCAGUGGGGGAUCAUCCGCAAUGGAGGAAAGUCUGGCGGAGCAACGCCGCGUGGGUGAUAACAGCCUUCGGGUUGUAAAGGUCUGUUAGUCGGGACGAAAGGCCUGCUUGCGAAUAGUGAGAAGGAUUGACGGUACCGAAAGAGAAAGCCACGGCUAACUACGUG
rnacentral:rRNA from 1 species